rnacentral:rRNA from 1 species
GUCCAUGCUGUAAACGAUGUCGACUUGGAGGUUGUGCCCUUGAGGCGUGGCUUCCGGAGCUAACGCGUUAAGUCGACCGCCUGGGGAGUACGGCCGCAAGGUUAAAACUCAAAUGAAUUGACGGGGGCCCGCACAAGCGGUGGAGCAUGUGGUUUAAUUCGAUGCAACGCGAAGAACCUUACCUGGCCUUGACAUCCACGGAAUUUAGCAGAGAUGCUUUAGUGCCUUCGGGAACCGUGAGACAGGUGCUGCAUGGCUGUCGUCAGCUCGUGUUGUGAAAUGUUGGGUUAAGUCCCGCAACGAGCGCAACCCUUAUCCUUUGUUGCCAGCGAUUCGGUCGGGAACUCAAAGGAGACUGCCGGUGAUAAACCGGAGGAAGGUGGGGAUGACGUCAAGUCAUCAUGGCCCUUACGGCCAGGGCUACACACGUGCUACAAUGGCGCAUACAAAGAGAAGCGACCUCGCGAGAGCAAGCGGACCUCAUAAAGUGCGUCGUAGUCCGGAUCGGAGUCUGCAACUCGACUCCGUGAAGUCGGAAUCGCUAGUAAUCGUAGAUCAGAAUGCUACGGUGAAUACGUUCCCGGGCCUUGUACACACCGCCCGUCACACCAUGGGAGUGGGUUGCAAAAGAAGUAGGUAGCUUAAC